rnacentral:rRNA from 1 species
CUGGCAGCGUGGAUUAGGCAUGCAAGUCGAGCGAGAUCCGGAGUGUAGCAAUACAAUCCGGUGACAGCGGCGAAAGGGUGAGUAACACGUGGGCAAUCUACCUUCAAGUUGGGGAUAACCCCGCGAAAGCGGAGCUAAUACCGAAUGUGAUUCCUCGGCGCAUGCCGAGGUGAUUAAAGGCGGGGAUUCGCAAGAACCUGUCGCUAGAAGAGGAGCCCGCGUCCCAUCAGCUAGUUGGUGAGGUAACGGCUCACCAAGGCUUACGGGUAGCUGGUCUGAGAGGAUGGUCAGCCACACUGGGACUGAGACACUGCCCAGACUCCUACGGGAGGCUGCAGUCGAGGAUCAUUUGCAAUGGGCGAAAGCCUGACAAUGCGACGCUGCGUGGAGGAUGAAGGCCUUCGGGUUGUAAACUCCUGUCAUUCGGGAACAAGGAUCGGCUGGCUAACAGCCGGCCGGUUUUGAUGGUACCGGAAGAGGAAGCCACGGCUAACUCUGUGCCAGCAGCCGCGGUAAUACAGAGGUGGCAAGCGUUGUUCGGAUUUACUAGGCGUAAAGGGUGCGUAGGUGGUCUUGUGUGUCGGAUGUGAAAUCCCACCGCUUAACGGUGGAACGGCAUUCGAAACUACUUGACUUGAGUGCAGGAGGGGAGAGCGGAAUUCUCGGUGUAGCGGUGAAAUGCGUUGAUAUCGAGAAGAACACCGGUGGCGAAGGCGGCUCUCUAGAAUGCAACUGACACUGAGGCACGAAAGCUGGGGGAGCAAACAGGAUUAGAUACCCUGGUAGUCCCAGCCCUAAACGGUGUGCAUUUGGUGUGGGGGGAAUUGACCCCCUCCGUGCCGGAGCUAACGCGUUAAAUGCACCGCCUGGGGAGUACGGUCGCAAGAUUAAAACUCAAAGAAAUUGACGGGGGCCCGCACAAGCGGAGGAGCAUGUGGCUUAAUUCGAUGCAACGCGAAGAACCUUACCAGGGCUUGACAUGUAGCUGCAGGCCCCGUGAAAGCGGGGCGGCCUUCGAGGGUGCUACACAGGUGCUGCAUGGCUGUCGUCAGUUCGUGCCGUGAGGUGUUGGGUUAAGUCCCGCAACGAACGCAACCCCUGUGUCUAGUUGCUACCGUCGGUGAUAAGCUGACGAGCACUCUAGACAGACUGCCUGUACAAGCAGGAGGAAGGUGGGGAUGACGUCAAGUCAGUAUGGCCCUUACGUCCUGGGCUGCACACGUGCUACAAUGGCCGGUACAGAGGGAAGCUAGACCGCGAGGUGGAGCAAAUCCCCAAAAACCGUCCUCAGUUCGGAUUGAAGGCUGCAACUCGCCUUCAUGAAGCUGGAUUCGCUAGUAAUGGCGCAUCAGCUACGGCGCCGUGAAUACGUUCCCGGGCCUUGUACACACCGCCCGUCACAUCAUGAAAGCCGUCUGCACCCAACGUCACCUUACCAACCCGCAAGGGAGGGAAGUGCCUAAGGUGUGGGCGGUGAUUGGGAUGAAGUCGUAACAAGGUA